CUUAAGAAGCCUUCAUUGUCAAAUCUAACUGAUGAUCAGUUCAAAUCAGUGCUCCUUUACCAUGCCUUGCCACGAUACUAUGCCCUUGCGGACUUCAAUGACCUAAGUGAGAAAGGCCUUAUUAGUACACUUGCUGGUGGCCAAUACACUUUGCAAUUCAACGAUGAGUCUGGUACCGUCCGCCUCGAUUCCGGAUGGAGCAAAACAAAAGUCACUAGCGCAGUACAUACGUCCAAGCCAGUCGCAGUCUAUCAAAUCGAUAAGGUCCUUCUUCCGGAGGCCAUUUUCGGGACCGACAUACCUCCGACACCUGCACCUGCCCCGGCUCUUGGUAUUGGCCCAUCAGCUGACACUCCAUCAGCAGCAAAAUCCGAAGAAACUGGUUCCUCAUCAAAGCCUUCGUUUUCGGGUUCAUCAUCUCCUAGGAUCAUGAUGAACUCGGGCAUUUGGACUCAGCUGGUUUUGGCAUUCUUAGGUGGAUGGCUGGUUCUCUUUUUCUGAGACGUUAUAAUUUUAUGUUGAAAGGGGGGCACAUAUGGGGUUCUCAAUUUUCUGUGAUUUUUAGACCCCAUUUUCUUUCAUAUAUAUGUUACUGUGUGUUAUUAUAAAAAGAAUGUUAUUGUGUGUUAAGAAUAUGGUUGUGUUAUAAUUACCAUUUCAAUUUUAAUGGAGUUUUGCCUUAAAUCUCUGUUUUUCACUUGUUCAUACUUGUUUCUAAGUUUGGCCCCAUCUAUAACUAUUUGGCGAGUGAGAGCUUAGGAAAGAAAACUCCUAGCAGGAGGCGAAGCAGAAAAAACUUUUAGAAAAUUAAAUUAUCAAUUUUUUUUUAAGGUUAAAAUGUAACC
rnacentral:lncRNA from 1 species